CUGCCUUUAGGGGAGUUUUUGUGAAUCAAGGAGAAAACUAUCUCCUGACCAGCAGGUAACUCUGGAAUACUCUAAAGUUUUAUCAUUUUCUCUUGAUGCCUGCAGGUCUCUGAAUGCUCUAAUCUCCCUCCAGGCUGACAGUACAUGCUCCCCAGCCCUACUCACAGAGGAAUCUGUGUUGAACCAAGAUGCUUCAUGAAACAGCCCCACUGAGCUCCCAGCAGAUGCUAGCACCAUUCAUCAUCCAU
rnacentral:lncRNA from 1 species